GUGGGGAAUAUUGGACAAUGGGCGAAAGCCUGAUCCAGCCAUGCCGCGUGUGUGAAGAAGGUCUUCGGAUUGUAAAGCACUUUAAGUUGGGAGGAAGGGCAGUAAGUUAAUACCUUGCUGUUUUGACGUUACCGACAGAAUAAGCACCGGCUAACUUCGUGCCAGCAGCCGCGGUAAUACGAAGGGUGCAAGCGUUAAUCGGACUUACUGGGCGUAAAGCGCGCGUAGGUGGUUUUGUAAGUUGGAGGUGAAAUCCCCGGGCUCAACCUGGGAACUGCCUCCAAAACUACUGAGCUAGAGUACGGUAGAGGGUAGUGGAAUUUCCUGUGUAGCGGUGAAAUGCGUAGAUAUAGGAAGGAACACCAGUGGCGAAGGCGACUACCUGGACUGAUACUGACACUGAGGUGCGAAAGCGUGGGGAGCAAACAGGAUUAGAAACCCCUGUAGUCC
rnacentral:rRNA from 1 species